UUGACCUCGGAUCAGGUAGGGAUACCCGCUGAACUUAAGCAUAUCAAUAAGCGGAGGAAAAGAAACCAACAGGGAUUGCCCC
rnacentral:rRNA from 35 species